UGCACUCCUCUGGACUUCUCUCCUCAAUCCGUUGCCAACUUUGAUUGAAUGGGUGCUGUGGAUGUGAUUAUAUAAUACUGCCAUUUCCAAGCAGUGUUUUUGGAGUUCGCUCGACCCCACUCCCAUUUUCUCUUCCUACGGAACAUCAAUGCGUGUAAACAUGACUUCAUAGCGGCUGCACUCUUCAUACGUCCUGUCCUUUCUCAGCCACAAGGCACAGCGCGAUAGGCAGGCGACGAAAAUGUUACACCGCUAAGAGAAUUCAUGUAAGCAUUUAUUUGAGGUAAGCCCUCCUAAUUAAGUCA
rnacentral:lncRNA from 1 species